rnacentral:lncRNA from 1 species
CUCUGCUGUAACGUGACACUUUCUAAGGCUCCCAUAGGCUCUCAGAAGGCGCCAGAACGUUGAAUGAUGACUCUGCAGUCUUUGGCUGAAAAACAGUAGCGCAUUUGGAUAGUGGUCGAUCUGAGAACAAUGAGACGGGCGCACGCGUGCACGUGAAGAGGCCAUUUUACAUUUUCAGUCUUUGAACGAAAACAACGACUCCCGGUCGGAAUAUUAUCGCUAUUUUACGAGAAAAAUCGCAUAAAAAUGGAUUUUAAACAGCGUUUGACAUGCUUCGAAGUACGGUAAUGGAAUAUUUUGAAUUUUUUUGUCACGAAACGCGCCGGCGCGUCACCCUUCGGAUAGUGUCUUGAACGCACGAACAAAACGCCGCUAUUUGGAUAUAACUAUGGAUUAUUUGGAACCAAACCAACAUUUGUUGUUGAAGUAGAAGUCCUGGGAGUGCAUUCUGACGAAGAACAGCAAAGGUAAUCCAAUUUUUCUUAUAGUAAAUCUGAGUUUGGUGAGUACCAAACUUGGUGGGUGUCAAAAUAGCUAGCCUGUGAUGGCCGGGCUAUCUACUCAGAAUAUUGCAAAAUGUGCUUUCACCGAAAAGCUAUUUUAAAAUCUGACACCGCGAUUGCAUAAAGGAGUUCUGUAUCUAUAAUUCUUAAAAUAAUUGUUAUGUUUUUUGUGAACAUUUAUCGUGAGUAAUUUAGUAAAUUCACCGGAAGUGUUCGGUGGGAAUGCUAGUUCUGAACGUCACAUGCUAAUGUAAAAAGCUGUUUUUUGAUAUAAAUAUAAACUUGAUUGAACAAAACAUGCAUGUAUUGUAUAACAUAAUGACCUAGGAGUGUCAUCUGAUGAAGAUCAUCAAAGGUUAGUGCUGCAUUUAGCUGUGGUUUUGGUUUUUGUGACAUUAUAUGCUAGCUUGAAAAAUGGGUGUCUGAUUAUUUCUGGCUGGGUUCUCUCCUGACAUAAUAUAAUGUUUUGCUUUUGUUGUAAAGCGUUUUUGAAAUCGGACAGUGUGGUUAGAUAAAGGAGAGUCUUGUCUUUAAAAUGGUGUAAAAUAGUGAUAUGUUUGAAAAAUUGAAGUUUUCGGAUUUUCGAGGGGUUUGUAUUUCGCGCCACGCCCUAUCAUUGGAUAUUGGAGCGGUGUUCCGCUAGCGGAAAGUCUAGAUGUAAGAGGUAGUUAAGACGUGAAAUCUGCUGCCACCCACAAGAUGCAGUAGUGAUAAAGUCCAGAGAAUGUGGAGUUCCUUAUCAUUCAUCAAACUGAAGGUACUACCUUUAAAUUCAUACUGUUACAGUAAGGUCACCGUAGUUCUGUUUUAGCGACGUUCCAAUUCACUUUCACUUCUGCAUUUGUAGUUGAUUUGGUGUUCAGCAGCAUAAGUGUCUGACCACUGAAGAGAACGCAAGUUCUACAGCUACAGCAGGUCAAUCCACCAAUAUAUGUCAUGCACCAUGGGCAGAUGUAUCGAAGUUUGCAAGCUGGUCUUAUGGGUUGCAGUUUGUGUGACCUUCAUCGUCUUGGGUGCCGUGUACAUUGAUGACUGCCCAGUGAAACGUAUCAUACCUAUCCACAUGAUCAUUUCUGGAUCUUUCGGUCUCCUCUAUGUAUUCUUCUCCUGCUACAAGGACCGUGUUGUGUGCCAACAUUUGUCUAAACUAUUUUGGUUCAUGAUCAUCAUCUGGCUCAUUAUUGGCCAUUUUUGGACCUUCUCUGUAUUCCAACCCAACUACGAACGGAAAGAGAUCAUCGGCAACACGGUAUACUGCAACAAAUCUCUAUACCUCUUUGUGGCCUCUACCACCAUCAUAUUGGACAUUAUUAUAUGUGUGUGGCUGCUUGUGUUGUUCGAUGUAUGUAAAUGCUUCAUACUUUGUCUGUUCUGCUGUGUCUCUUUAUGCAUGUCUGACGAUGUCAAACCUGUGGAGGUUGUUGAGCCUUUGAGGGUUGUGGAGACUGAGGACUGUGUUGAACCUAAGGAGUGUGUGGGGACUGACGGAAGUGUGGGGACUGAAGUGUGUGUGGGGACUGAAGUGUGUGCGGGGACUGAAGUGUGUGCGGGGACUGAAGUGUGUGUGGGGACUGAGGUGUGUGUGGGGACUGAGGUAUGUGUGGAGACUCAGGAGAGUGUGGGGCAUGACGAGAGUGUGGGACAUGAAGAGAGUGUGAGUCCAACACUGCUCAAUAUUAAUGCAAUUCACUAUUCACAAUACCAAUAGUAAUUUACAUGAAUUUGUCUCUUUUGGGGGUGAGAUAAUGUAAAAAAUGUAGAUGUCAUCAUAAAAAAUAAGCAAUCAAUGGGUAAAUUUGUGCCAUUAUGUUGCCAAAGAUCAGAAGAUUCAAAUAAAAAUAUUAAUUCCCACUUUGAUUUUCAAGAUUUAAAAUAUACCUAUUUUAUCAUUACCAUUUUUGAACAGAAUGAUAAUCAUUUGGCUAAUAGGCUUAACACACCCGCCCUGAAAUAGUUUAGUGGAACGGCCCAUCAACGAAAACGCAUACCCAAAGAAAAUGGACAGGUGUGUUAAAAUGCCUGGGCCGACUUUUGGUCCGAUUUUGCCCCUGCUGUGGUUCGUAAAUCAUUACAAUUAUAAUAACUAACUGGAUCAAAUUGUGUGACCAUCAUCUUAGUGCUUGACAAAUACUAGGCCUAAGCACAAUGCCUCUCCCCUAUUUGACCUAGAUAGUUUGUGUACGUAUUAAUAUGUAGGCUAAGUGUGCCUUUAAUAAAAAAAUAUAUAAUUUACGUAGUUCUGUCCUUAAGCUGUUGUCUAUUAAUGUUCUGUAUUAUGUCAUGUUUUGUGUGGACCCCAGGAAGAGUAGCUGCUGCUUCACUAGCACAGAGAGGCUGCUGCCUAUUUACACAGACUUCAAAUCACUGGCCACUUUAAUAAAUGGAACAAUAAAUGUUUACAUAUGUUGCAUUACUCUUCUCAUAUGUAUAUACUGUAUUCUAUGCUGUUCUACUGUAUCUUAGUCAAUGCCGCUCUGACAUUGCUUGUCCAUAUGUUUAUGUAUUCUUACAGUUUUUCACAAUUGCUAAAACACAAUUUCUGAAACCUUGCUCCAUUUCCUGAAAACAUUAAACACAAAACCUCAUCUUCAAGCACUAUUUACAUAACCUCUGACUCCUCUCGCAAAAUGAAACAUUCGCCUCAAAACAGUUUUACCUGUGUUCAAAAUCAAACACUGCUCUCAAAUCAUAAACAAAGUGAUCAAAAUGAUAUACACUCUCAAGCAGUCAGUAAACAAUAUACCGAAAAAUAGAAAACACAUUGUUCAAAACAUACAAUUCUCAGGGAGAAGUACAUUUUUAAUCUAAAAAAAUAUUCAUAUUUUUCUGUCAUUGUCUUUUGAUGAACGAAAACAUGUUCUAUCAUAGUAGCUCAAAAUUAAUCAGAAAUUACUACUCUGCUUUGCUCUUUGCAAUUUUGUUUUUUGUUCUUCCUCCUCCUUGUACCCCUAUUUUUACAGUACUGUACCCUGCAUCUCACAAACUUGUCCUUUGUCUCUGUGAUACUGUAAUUCUUGUUCUUUGUUGAUAUGAACCUGCAACCAGUCAAAAUCUAUUGAGCAGUCAGUACUGUUAAUAAAUGGAAAGCACAAUGUUCAGGGCCAUACAAUUUGUCCAUUGUACAGUAUACAGCCUACAAUGCACUCACUGUACUACAGUAUACAAUACUAAAAGGGACAAAAAUCAAAGGAGUAAAUAUGUGAUCAAUGUGCUUCUUCUUGUCUUUCGGCUGGGUCAGGCCAGAGCAUUUCGUCGACAUCACAAGCAAUAUUGUCCCUCCUGAGGCAACGGGGGAAGAAGUCUCUUGUGUGCCGUAUCCAGCCCUGACCUGAUUCCUCACCUAUAUCACCACAGGCUAAAUCCAUGGCUUGCAGCAGAUUUACUCUGGUGUAGGGUUGUCUAUCAUACACUUUCCAUCUCCAAGAGGAGAAAAACUCCUCAAUCGGAUUCAGGAAAGGUGAGUAUGGAGGGAGGUACAAGUUCAUAAACUGCCCAUUGAUGUUAAACUAUUCCCUUACCUGAGCAGCUCGGUGGAAACUGACAUUGUCCCACACUAUCACAUAGGUGGGAAUGGGAUUCUCAUUUAGCUCUUGACCCUGCUGCUCUUGAACCUGCUGCUCAAAUAAAAUAUCUCUUAGAUUGGCAAUAAAUCUUAGAAGGUGCUGGGUGUUAUAUGGCCCGAGUGUAACAUGGUGAUGUAGAACACCAUGGUUGCUGAUAGCAGCACAGAUUGUGACAUUGCCACCUCGUUGACCAGGGACUUCAACAAUGGCCCGCUGUCCAAUCAUGUUUCGGCCUCUCCUUCUCCUCUUUGUUAGAUUGAAGCCUGCUUCAUCGACAAAGAUGAACUCAUAGGGUCUGUCCAAGGAUUCCAAGUCAAAUAUUGUCUGUGUAGAAAUACAAUAUACUGUAUGUAGGAUUUUGUAAGACAUACAGAGACAGUGCUAUACUGUAGAGUACAAUUAGGCCUACUGUAUGCACUUCUGAUUCACAUACAUUGUAUGUACUGAAGAGUAAUGUCAUUCACAUAGUAUGUGUUAGUACUGUAGACAAUCUGGAUUACAGUAAAUGUUUCUGAAUGUACACUUACUUGCACAUACUGAGCUCGCAGUUCUUUCACCCUUGGUGAGUUGCGCUCAAAAGGUACUCUGUAUACUUGUUUCAUUUGCAUCCUGUUACGAUGGAGAACACGGCCAAUUGUGGAAAUGCUCACACUGUCGAUUCCCUGGAAGUGUGUGUUGUCUUGUAUCACUCGUUCCUGGAUAUCUCUGAGUCGUAUUGCAUUAUCUUGAAGGACCAUGCCAACUAUAACGGUCUCUUGCUCCCGAGUGAAUAUAGCUGUCCUUCCACCUGCAUGUGGCAGCCUUGCAAUUCUACAAAAAGUAGUUGUGCAGUUACAAAACAUAUUCAUGCAGUACAAUACAUACAGUGAUUAACUUUACAAAUGUCUAUUGAAACAGCUGCAUAUAGUGUAGUACAGUAAAUUUGCAAUUACAAAAAUACAGUAGCAUACUGUACCUGUUCUCUUCCCUGAAUGUCCUUACUAUGGUGGACACAGAAAAUCGGCUCAAAUUGGGUUGCACUCUAAGUCCUGCUUCCCUCAUUGUCAGUCCAUGGACAAGAACAUGGUCUAUAACUGUUGCUCGAAUUUCAUCAGAUAUUUCCACUCUUUGUCUUCCUCUUCGUCCUCCUCUUCCUCUUUCUUGCCCUCCUCUUCCUCCUCGUCGCCCACCUCGCAUACGCACUCGUCCUCUCACAUUGUUUCUUCUAUCCAUUCUCAGACUUUCUCCUUCCCACCUUCAACAACCUGUUUGCUCUCUGAACUGGCUUAUAUUGGUUGUGUCGCAUCAUUUGAAACAGGUUAAAUCAAUUUUGAGUGGUUGUGUUCAAUCAAUGACAUGUGUUCUCUAUUUGUAUUUGAUUGUUGCCACUUGUGUUUACCAGUAUGGAUGACAUGUGCAUUAGAGUGCAGAAUGUGUUUUGAGAAUGAGAACGUGUUUAGAGUUUUGCUGAAAAGUCUAAGUGAGAUCUGCAAAUUGUGUUUUACCAUGUGAAUAAUUAGCUAAAUGAGUCCAGGCAACUGAGAACUUUGUUCAGCCAAUGGGUUUUAGUGUUUUAGCAAUUGAGAAAAACUGUAAUUCCAUUCCUUAACUUGGACUGUGUGUAUUGGGUAUAUGUUGUGAACUUGUUAGAUGUCACCUGUUAGAUAGUACUGCACUGUCAGAGCGAGAAACACAUGCAUUUCGCUACACGCGCCAUAACAUCUACUAAACACAUAGAUAUGACCAAUAAAAUGUGAUUUGAUUUGCUUUUGCAAUAGCUAAUGGGGAUCCUAAUAAAAUACCCCAAAUACCAAGCUUAUGGGUCUACUGUCUGUUACCAAUAUCAGCAAUAUUAUAUGCAGCAGCUUGUUUACUUGGAAUAAACAGAGCAAAUAAUGCAAAUGAAUACAAGUCAGACAGAGACUAAAUCGAAGUUUGAACGUAUUAUGGCUCAAUUUAAUUGAUCAAAUGUGUGUUGUGUUCUUCCAUAAUAAAAAGGCCAGGGCUUCUAGGCUGGUGUGUUUCAUUUUACCUACUCUAUAUUUGAGUUGGCAUAAUUCAAAUGGUUGCCAAUCUAUUCAAAUGAAGUUGUGCUGCCUAACUGUAACAUUGUAAAUUGUCAGUCAUCCUUACCGUUUCGAUAAGUUAGCUAACAGUAGCUUGUGAUCUUGGCUGCUUUCAGUCGCCCGCAACACCAGAAGAGGGACUGCAAGAGCAUGCGCUGUCGAGAGCGGUGGCUCUGUCAGUUAGCGAGAAAUAGUGAAAUGGAAUUAUUUUCUGACUCUCCCCAAGCGCAGAUCUCUCAGUAGUAGUGUUAACGUCACUGACACGCACAACCAAGGUGCAAUGUACCUGUAUGACUGCCCCCGGCAGCACUACAUCCCCAUUUACCUGGUGGUAAUGGGGGCCUCCGUCCUGGCCCUAGCCCUGCUCUCCUGCCUACCAUGUGCCCAGGACUCAGAAGACAUGCCCCCCAACCUCCUGAACCAUCUCUGCACCACCUGGAGCACCCUGGCCUCCCUCUUCCUCUUAUGCUGGUUCAUCAGCGGUAACGUGUGGAUCUACUCCAUCUAUCAGCCCAAUUUCAACCAGACACUGACUGAGGACCCCUACUGCAACAAGACCCUGUACCUGUUUGCCUUCUGGACCACCACGCUAGCCUACGUUGUGCCGGGCCUUCUGCUGCUGGGGGGAUGCUGUAUGCUUGUCUGUGCCUUUAUACUGGGCAAGACGGACCCUGAUGACAACAGAGCAUGAGGGAGAGGAUGAGAAGAGGGGAGGAGAGGAGACAACAGUACAAGACAGGAGGAGGAGGAGGGGAGAGUAGAGGGCAGUAGAGGAGAGGGGAGAAGGGAGGAGCGGAGGAAGAUAGUAUUGGAGAGGAGAAGAGGGGAGGAGAGGGUAUAAUGUUGACUUAACAAACUAGAGAAAACCAAUGGAAUCCAGUUAUCAAUUGAAUAACGAAUGAUGUGUUUAAACUGUUAUUAUAUAUUACUGUUUCUGUAUGAGAAACGUUGUUGCAUUCAUUCUCAUUAGCUCGAUUUUAAACUAUUUAUACAUUAUUAAAUGUAUUUAAAAAAACGUUCAAAUUGUGAAUAAUGCGCCUGCGUUUCAUGUCUUUAUGAUCCUAGUCUGGU